UUUAACCCUUUGAUUAGUUUUACCCGUUAGAACCAACCACCUACUCAACCCUAGAGGGCCUACAUCAUCCUAACCGUACAUUGAUAGUAUUCUAGCCUAGUUUUAUAUAUAUAUAUAUAUAGUUAUAUAUAUAUAAUAAUAUAUAUUAUUAUAAUAGAGAGAGAGAGAGAGAGAGAGAGAGAGAGAGAGAGAGAGAGAAUUGAGCUCCUAUGCUUUUAAAAGUACCAAGUUAUUGGUGCUUGUAGAUUUUUAGCCAUUGGAUUAAAAAAUAUGCGGUUAGAAUGAUGUGGGCCCCCUAGGGUUUAGUGGGUGGUUGGUUGAAUAGUAUAAUCUAAUGGUUGAAAAUGAUCCGAGGAGUAGAUCUAACGGUAAAAAACUUACAAGCACCAAGUGCUUGGUGCUUUUACAAGCACCAUAGCUGGACUCUCUCUCUCUCUCUCUGUCACGCCCCGAGCCUGCCUCUUUGGUCGGAUUCGGGCACGCCAACAGACCGCCGAACGGACAGGGUUUUUCCUGUACCGCGGACAGAGUCUCCCCUGUACGUUCAAGGCGUCGAAAUCAAUACAU
rnacentral:lncRNA from 1 species